GCCAGGCUGGCUCAGUUGGUAAAGCAUGCGACUCCUGAUCUCAGAAUCGUGAGUUCAAGUCCCAUGUUGGGCG
rnacentral:tRNA from 1 species